rnacentral:tRNA from 1 species
GGGGGGUGGUCCGGUUCAUGGUCGGGUGUUCUCCUGUGGUCCCGGAGCGCCUUCGAUCAGCGCGCUGAUGCGGGUGCUGGACCGGCGCGCUUCC